rnacentral:snRNA from 1 species
GUGCUCACUUUGGCAGCACAUAUACUAAAAUUGGAACGAUACAAAGAUUAGCAUGGCCCCUGCUCAAGGAUGACACGCAAAUUCGUGAAGCAUUCAUUAAAAAA